GAUGAACGCUGGCGGCGUGCCUAAUACAUGCAAGUCGAGCGAACGGACGAGAAGCUUGCUUCUCUGAUGUUAGCGGCGGACGGGUGAGUAACACGUGGAUAACCUACCUAUAAGACUGGGAUAACUUCGGGAAACCGGAGCUAAUACCGGAUGAUAUUUUGAACCGCAUGGUUCAAAAGUGAAAGACGGUCUUGCUGUCACUUAUAGAUGGAUCCGCGCUGCAUUAGCUAGUUGGUAAGGUAACGGCUUACCAAGGCAACGAUGCAUAGCCGACCUGAGAGGGUGAUCGGCCACACUGGAACUGAGACGCGGUCCAGACUCCUACGGGAGGCAGCAGUAGGGAAACAUCCGCAAUGGGCGAAAGCCUGAGGGAGCAACGCCGCGUGAGUGAUGAAGGGCUUCGGAUCGUAAAACUCUGUUAUUAGGGAAGAACAUAUGUGUAAGUAACUGUGCACAUCUUGACGGUACCUAAUCAGAAGGCCACGGCUAACUACGUG
rnacentral:rRNA from 1 species